UACGGGGGGGGGCAAGCGUUGUUCGGAAUUACUGGGCGUAAAGGUCUCGUAGGUGGCCAACUAAGUCAGACGUGAAAUCCCUCGGCUUAACCGGGGAACUGCGUCUGAUACUGGAUGGCUUGAGUUCGGGAGAGGGAUGCGGAAUUCCAGGUGUAGCGGUGAAAUGCGUAGAUAUCUGGAGGAACACCGGUGGCGAAGGCGGCAUCCUGGACCGACACUGACGCUGAGGAGCGAAAGCCAGGGGAGCAAACGGG
rnacentral:rRNA from 1 species